ensembl:lncRNA
CAAAGACAAAGAGGUAGAUUUUCUCCCCCCCCAAAAAAAGCAGCAGAAUAAAGAUGUCAUACACAACACUCUUUCCUCAGUGUAUUAAAGCAGGGUUUGAAAACAAAACGGUCAUUAAUAACUUGGCAUCAUGGCCGCUGGUAUGAAUAUACAGCGCAAGAGUGCAUUUGCAAAGCCAUAGCUGAAUGAACGAAUAUACGGCUGGGAUAUGUGUAGGGCACGAGUGGGCGGCCGCAUAUCAAGAGACAGAGAUAGAACCAGAGAGAGGGAGAGAUACAUAUAGAUGCUUGACAACUAAUAUUUCUGCAUUCCAAGCACUCAGCAGUUUCCUUCCACGCUGUUUUUUCCUCAAUGAAAUUGCUCAGCUCUCUACAGCUGUGUAUUCCCCUCUAUCUUUUUUUAUCUCACCUUGCCUGCCUGUGGAGUAUGUAGGCCAAGGUAUGACCCGAGUGGAAUAGCCUUUCACACAGCUGAUAAUUCCACACUUAACAGAGCACUUUACACACAGGAAAAGAUCACCAUGUCAUGUUUACUGUCUGGCAGCUACUCUGCGUCAUCUCCCAUAGCACAGAUAGAAGAGAUUGUUAGACUGAUAUCAACUACUCGUGAGGCCCUCAAUCUUUCAGUCAUAAUUAGGCAGCCAUCAAGCUACGUUUUAAGAUAAUGCUCUUAUGACUGCUUAAUUCAUACUCAUCCCUAAAUUUCAUACCACAGCUGUUGCUUUGUAAACACUUCCCCCUAAUUUACUGGUCUAUAUAAUUUCUUCAAAAUGAUCACUUAUGCAUGACUACCGCACCUGGUCCCUACAAUUCCUUUCACUUAAGCGGUGUUCGAAUGAACUGAGAUGCACUAUAGCCUGCAGCAACAGCAUUCUGUAUUGUUGAAAACACCAUCAGAGCAUAUUGUUUUUCCCAAUGUCUUUUACAAGGCACACCUUUCCUUUUCAAAAAGAAAUGGAGGAAUUAUUUACCAAUUAAUCUCGGUUCACAGAAAGACCUUUCAGUAAGCAUUUAGAUAUUGACAUUCUUGAAAUACAUCAUUCAUAAUAAAAAAAAAGAAUUUAAAAAAUCCAUUUGUUCUGCAAAUGACAGUGUUAAAGAACGUUUAUGACUGCAACUGCAAUCCGUCAUUAGUUUCAUGGAGACACUCAAGGGAAUUCCCACUGUACAAAAUCUGACUGAAGCCAGAUGAACGGAUAUUCUUCAACAACUGUCUUCUCAAGUAUACCCUAUGUGCUGUUUCUCUUCAUUGAUGCUAAAUUGGUGUCCUUUUUCUACUUGCAAUCUUUUCUCUAGCUGAAUGGGCCAGGAGGUUCUUACUUGUCAAAUAAACUAAAUAAACUCAUGGGAUCGGUUUCAUCCUGAAUAAUAAAUUAUUCACUUUUUUUUAAUCCCAGAAAAACAUUCUUGUCUUGAAUACUUUCUCUACCAAUCAUAACGAAUAAACAGGUUCUCAGUAUACAACCAGAGCUUAACAAUUGAACAACACUCACAAUAUUUCACAAACCAAUUCAUUCAUCCAAGUGAAAUACAAUAAAUAGUGAUGGAAAGCCAACAUAAUAAUAAUAAUUAUAAACACACACACACACACACACACACACACAUAUAUAUAUAUAUAUAUAUAGAGAGAGAGAGUUCAUUAAUUUGGUAUUUAUCUACCAACCUGGGUGAAGGUCUUUCUUCAAAUGGAGAGAAUUCCAGACACGGUGUAAUGAUUGGUAUUUCUGCCAUGGGGAUGGAUGUGAAAUGCUAGAAUGAUGGCAGUUUAUGGAACUGGAGCAAUGGGGGGUUUAUGAGCAGGGUGUGAAAGAGAAGGGCAGCAGACGGGACUGAUGGAAAGUAACCCCUUAAGACAGAAAUGACAUGAGAAUCAGGAUUAGCUUGAAUGGAAAAGCUGCUGUUGGCCAAUAGGUUUAUGAAGAGCAAAAGGCCAAAGAGAACGGUGAGAAGGUACUGUACGCCACUUGAGUCCCACUUGCUCAAGGCACAGGAGUGAAGUAAACUCUGGAUGCAAGUCAUGACAUCUGGUGUCCUUUUGUGUUUUUUCUCCUUUAGUAAUAUCAUUCUCUGUGAAGCAGAGAAAUGAAGUCUCAUCUCUGAAGGCAAGAUUUUCACCAACUAACCCAAAACAAAAAGGGCUUUGGUUUUUUUCCUUGUAUAUUUCCUCAGAUGAUUCGAGGCACAGACUUACAGUGAAGAAAACAGAGGUUUACACAAAUGGUGAGAAUAUCAGAAAUCCUAUAGAUUAAUCCUCACCUAUUCUGCUUUGGGUAGACCUAGGAGCACACCUUCCUAUAGAAUUCAGUUCCAACUCUAAUGCAACACACGUGCUACAGAUAAUCAAUCUACUUGCCUAGUCAGUUCAGCUCGAUCGAUCGCAGACAGGAACUGAAUUCAGUAAGAAGAUAGGCUUCCAGGAAUGUGGUCACUGCUCUAUAUGUGAACACUGCACCCAGCCUGACAUUGUAAAACUCUGACAGAGAAGUGGAAGUGGAAUAGCAUGCAGCAUGCUUGUUCUUAAUCUUCCUGGCUGCACACACACACAAUGUUUCCUGCUCAUGCCAUCUCUCACCAGUAAGGACUAGUUGAGGCUCAGCUCAGGUUCCACUCUCCCAUUGCGUAAAAAGCUCACACAUUGCUGUAGUGUCACAGGACAGGGGAAUGACGUGCAACGAUUACGGGGUUGCAGCUCUGCUUUUUGUCGCGGUGUCUGGUUGCCUUCUCUGGAUCACUUCUUUGCUAGCCUUGGAGAGACAUUUGACCCCAAAGGCAGGAAUGCAGGGGACUGACGGCUGUGUUGACGGCAGCACUGACUUCAGCAGUGGCUUGGUGUUACGGCCCAAGCGUUAAGUGUCUUAAAUGUGCAUGUGGCUCUGGAGUUGUUUUGACACUAGACACUUGCUGAGUGGCAGUAAACCAUGUGCGAACCCUCAUACUUGUCCACUGGGUUGCAUGGCUCCCUGGGUGUCCUGAACACAUUGUCCAUCUGUCCUUUUUCCAUGUUCACACUGCUGCUACCUGAGUGAAUACAUGGACCGAAGUUUGGCAAAAAGAAAUGCUAAACAAAAGGCAAGGUGGCAUCACAACUCCCUGUGUUCUCAAUCAAAAGCAUCUUCGUCCUUGUAGUCUCUCCUCACAGGGGACACGGUUCAGUGGUAAAGGGUUCUCCUGCUUUCUUUUUCCUGCGUUUCUUCUUAUGUGUUGUCCAACAGGCAGUAGCCAUUACCAUCAGGACCAGCCCGACAAUCAGCAAGACCACAGAGACCACCUUGGUCUGUGGGAGAUCGUUGUAGGUGUAGGUCACGCUCGUGCCAGCUAUACCAAUUACCAGUGAGAUGAUUCCAAAGGGGAAGAUGCAGCGAUACCAAGAUUUUUCCAUGCCCCCUGUGGCCUGAGAAAGCUUCUCUAAAGAAGACAGGACCUCUGGGACUUUGGCUGCCCCCUCCGGAGUCUGUCCCUCCUGGUUGGUGUUUGAAGAAGGCUGGGGCUGGCAUGCCAGGUGCCCUGUGGUACAGCCCAUUUUUAAAAAAUUAGAAGCCAGUGAGGCUAUUGGAAGCCAGGUGGAAACUUCCUCUACUGUACUCCGAAUCCAGUACUGGCUUGAGAAGAGAUGAAGCCUAGAUCUAAACAGUCCGAUGUGAAACUACGUGCAAAAGGAGCAUGGCCAGCAACAAAACAUCCCUACUCCCUGUGCAGUCCUCCUCUCUUUCUCUGCUGUGCAGUGUUAUAAUAGUCUGCACUGUGAAUCAGCAGCAGCAUGUUGAACACUCUCCCAGCUGGACUGCGUGUGGGUAUAUAAUGUGCCAAAGGCAGGGGGUGGAGUAAAGAAGCAGUGAAGGGGCUGGACAGUGGCAGUGAUUGGCUGAAGCCACAGUGUGACGUUGAAUACAAGAGCAGAGGAAUGGGGAUCAAAAGAAGAGCUGGAAAGAAGAAGAGAGGGUGGGAGUUAACCAUUCAAAUGCUGUCACACUCUUGCUUUUUCAGGGUUUGCUGCAGCCGUCCUUCCUACAGGAAAUGGCAUAACAAAUACAUCCCAAAAGGAACAGAUCAUAUGAGCAUGUAAUGGCAUUAAAGACACAAGAAUAUUGUGUCAAAUCCUACAAUCCCAAACAAAUUUCCAUUUUUAUCUGUGAGCAAACAGAGGGAAUUCCAUGUGAGAGCACAGCUGAGCACUGCAUGCUCCCUCUGUG